rnacentral:rRNA from 1 species
GACGAACGCUGGCGGCGUGCUUAACACAUGCAAGUCGAACGGAAAGGCCUCUUUCGGGGGGUACUCGAGUGGCGAACGGGUGAGUAACACGUGAGUAACCUGCCCUUGACUUUGGGAUAACUUCAGGAAACUGGGGCUAAUACCGGAUAGGAGCUCCUGCUGCAUGGUGGGGGUUGGAAAGUUUCGGCGGUUGGGGAUGGACUCGCGGCGUAUCAGCUUGUUGGUGGGGUAGUGGCUUACCAAGGCUUUGACGGGUAGCCGGGCUGAGAGGGUGACCGGCCACAUUGGGACUGAGAUACGGCCCAGACUCCUACGGGAGGCAGCAGUGGGGAAUAUUGCACAAUGGGUGGAAGCCUGAUGCAGCAACGCCGUGUGCGGGAUGACGGCCUUCGGGUUGUAAACCGCUUUCGCUCAUGACGAAGCUUUGUGUGACGGUAGUGGGUAAAGAAGCACCGGCUAACUACGUG